AAUGAUUUCUCACUCAAAGGGCUUUAGAAACAUGCUUCUAAAGUCGCCUGGGGAUGGGGCCGCGUCCGAUCAGGUUGUUGGUGAGGUAAUGGCUCACCAAGCCUAUAACCAGUACGGGCCGUGAGAGCGGUAGCCCGGAGAUGGGUACUGAGACAAGGACCCAGGCCCCACGGGGCGCAGCAGUCGCGAAAACUCCGCAAUGCACGAAAGUGUGACGGGGCUACCCCGAGUGCCAUCCGCUGAGGAUGGCUUUUCCUUGGUAUAACUAGCCGAGGGAAUAAGGAGAGGGCAAGACUGGUGUCAGCCGCCGCGGUAAUACCAGCUCUCCGAGUGGUAGGGAUGAUUAUUGGGCUUAAAGCGUCCGUAGCCGGCUUAGCAAGUCUCCUGUUAAAUUCAGCGACCUAAUCGUUGAGCCGCGGGAGAUACUACUAGGCUAGGAGGCGGGAGAGGUCGACGGUACUCCUGGGGUAGGGGUGAAAUCCUAUAAUCCCGGGAGGACCACCAGUGGCGAAGGCUGUCGACUAGAACGCGCUCGACGGUGAGGGACGAAAGCUGGGGGAGCGAACCGGAUUAGAUACCCGGGUAGUCCCAGCCGUAAACGAUGCGGGCUAGGUGUUGGGGUGGCUACGUGCCACUUCAGUGCCGCAGGGAAGCCAUUAAGCCCGCCGCCUGGGGAGUACGGCCGCAAGGCUGAAAC
rnacentral:rRNA from 1 species